UCUGAUUGAGCGGCCGAUAUCAGAUUAGCUAGUUGGUGGGGUAAGAGCUCACCAAGGCGACGAUCUGUAGCGGGUCUGAGAGGAUGAUCCGCCACACUGGAACUGAGACACGGUCCAGACUCCUACGGGAGGCAGCAGUGGGGAAUUUUGGACAAUGGGGGCAACCCUGAUCCAGCCAUGCCGCGUGAGUGAAGAAGGCCUUCGGGUUGUAAAGCUCUUUCGGCCGGGAAAAAAUCGCAUGGGUUAAUACCCUGUGUGGAUGAUGGUACCGGAAUAAGAAGCACCGGCUAACUACGUGCCAGCAGCCGCGGUAAUACGUAGGGUGCGAGCGUUAAUCGGAAUUACUGGGCGUAAAGCGUGCGCAGGCGGUUUUGUAAGACAGGCGUGAAAUCCCCGGGCUCAACCUGGGAACUGCGCUUGUGACUGCAAGGAUAGAGUAUGGCAGAGGGGGGUGGAAUUCCACGUGUAGCAGUGAAAUGCGUAGAGAUGUGGAGGAACACCAAUGGCGAAGGCAGCCCCCUGGGCCAAUACUGACGCUCAUGCACGAAAGCGUGGGUAGCAAACAGGAUUAGAUACCCUGGUAGUCCACGCCCUAAACGAUGUCAACUAGGUGUUGGGAGGGUAAAACCUUUUAGUACCGGAGCUAACGCGUGAAGUUGACCGCCUGGGGAGUACGGCCGCAAGGUUAAAACUCAAAGGAAUUGACGGGGACCCGCACAAGCGGUGGAUGAUGUGGAUUAAUUCGAUGCAACGCGAAAAACCUUACCUACCCUUGACAUGUCCAGGAGCCUGAAGAGAUUUGGGUGUGCCCGAAAGGGAACUGGAACACAGGUGCUGCAUGGCUGUCGUCAGCUCGUGUCGUGAGAUGUUGGGUUAAGUCCCGCAACGAGCGCAACCCUUGUCGUUAAUUGCCAUCAUUCAGUUGGGCACUUUAACGAGACUGCCGGUGACAAACCGGAGGAAGGUGGGGAUGACGUCAAGUCCUCAUGGCCCUUAUGGGUAGGGCUUCACACGUCAUACAAUGGUCGGUACAAAGGGUUGCCAACCCGCGAGGGGGAGCCAAUCCCAGAAAGCCGAUCGUGGUCCGGAUUGCAGGCUGCAACUCGCCUGCAUGAAGUCGGAAUCGCUAGUAAUCGUGGAUCAGCAUGUCACGGUGAAUACGUUCCCGGGUCUUGUACACACCGCCCGUCACACCAUGGGAGCGGGUUCCGCCAGAAGUAGGUAGCCUAACCGCAAGGGGGGCGCUUACCACGGCGGGGUUCGUGACUGGGGUGAAGUCGAAACAAGGUA
rnacentral:rRNA from 1 species